rnacentral:rRNA from 1 species
UACGAAGGGGGCUAGCGUUGCUCGGAAUCACUGGGCGUAAAGCGCACGUAGGCGGGUCUUUAAGUCAGGGGUGAAAUCCUGGAGCUCAACUCCAGAACUGCCUUUGAUACUGAGGAUCUCGAGUCCGGGAGAGGUGAGUGGAACUCCGAGUGUAGAGGUGAAAUUCGUAGAUAUUCGCAAGAACACCAGUGGCGAAGGCGGCUCACUGGCCCGAUACUGACGCUGAGGUGCGAAAGCGUGGGGAGCAAACAGG